AGAGUUUGAUCCUGGCUCAGGACGAACGCUGGCGGCGCGCUUAACACAUGCAAGUCGAGCGAGAACCAGGGCUUCGGCCCUGGGGACAGCGGCGAACGGGUGAGUAACACGUGAGUAAUCUGCCCUCGACACCGGGAUAGGCCGGGGAAACCCGGAUUAAUACCGGAUAGCCUUUCGAGCUCUCGGGCUCGUCAGAAAAGAUGGCUUCGGCUUUCGGUUGAGGAUGAGCUUGCGGCGGAUUAGCUUGUUGGUGAGGUAACGGCUCACCAAGGCAACGAUCCGUAGCUGGUCUGAGAGGACGAUCAGCCACACUGGGACUGAGACACGGCCCAGACUCCUACGGGAGGCAGCAGUGGGGAAUCUUGCGCAAUGGGCGAAAGCCUGACGCAGCGACGCCGCGUGAGGGAAGAAGGCCUUCGGGUUGUAAACCUCUUUCAGGAGGGACGAAGCCACUCGGGUUAAUACCCCAGAGGGUGACGGUACCUCCAGAAGAAGCCCCGGCUAACUACGUGCCAGCAGCCGCGGUAAUACGUAGGGGGCAAGCGUUGUCCGGAAUUAUUGGGCGUAAAGAGCGUGUAGGCGGCCAUUUAGGUCUGCUGUGAAAACUCGAGGCUCAACUUCGAGCUGUCGGCGGAAACCAUCUGGCUAGAGUCCGGAAGAGGAGAGUAGAAUUCCUGGUGUAGCGGUGAAAUGCGCAGAUAUCAGGAGGAAUACCCGUGCGAAAGCGGCUCUCUGGGACGGUACUGACGCUGANNNNCGAAAGCGUGGGGAGCAAACAGGAUUAGAUACCCNNGUAGUCC
rnacentral:rRNA from 1 species